rnacentral:rRNA from 1 species
AUUGAACGCUGGCGGCAGGCCUAACACAUGCAAGUCGAGCGGAUGAAGGGAGCUUGCUCCUGGAUUCAGCGGCGGACGGGUGAGUAAUGCCUAGGAAUCUGCCUGGUAGUGGGGGGUAACGUCCGGAAACGGGCGCUAAUACCGCAUACGUCCUGAGGGAGAAAGUGGGGGAUCUUCGGACCUCACGCUAUCAGAUGAGCCUAGGUCGGAUUAGCUAGUUGGUGGGGUAAAGGCCUACCAAGGCGACGAUCCGUAACUGGUCUGAGAGGAUGAUCAGUCACACUGGAACUGAGACACGGUCCAGACUCCUACGGGAGGCAGCAGUGGGGAAUAUUGGACAAUGGGCGAAUGCCUGAUCCAGCCAUGCCGCGUGUGUGAAGAAGGUCUUCGGAUUGUAAAGCACUUUAAGUUGGGAGGAAGGGCAGUAAGUUAAUACCUUGCUGUUUUGACGUUACCAACAGAAUAAGCACCGGCUAACUUCGUG